AAUUAGACAGGCAACAAUGACGAAAGACAUUCCAAAUAUGCUAAUAUGAAAAGUAAAUUAAAUGCAAUAAACUAACAAUACAAACAGUGAUUGUCUAAAGUUUAAAUGCAACUGCUUGUUACUGUCGUUAAUGGCAUGGUUGUGAUUGGCCAGUGCAGCAUGUGACCCAGCUAGUAGGGGCAUGUUUAAUAAACACUGAUCAGCCUGUGGCAAUCCAUAUAAACUUGCGAUGCGAUUGACUGCGCCUACCAUGGUGACCACGUGUAACGGGGAACUAGGGUUCGAUUCCAUACAGGGACCCUGACAAACGGGUGCAACAUGCAAGGAAGGCAGCAGACG